rnacentral:tRNA from 1 species
ACGUCUCUGGUGUAACGGCAGCAUGGCUGGUUCCAACCCAGUUGGUCAGGGUUCAAAUCCUUGGGGACGUGC